GUGGCGAACGGGUGAGUAAUGCGUCGGAACGUACCGAGUAAUGGGGGAUAACACAGCGAAAGUUGUGCUAAUACCGCAUACGCCCUGAGGGGGAAAGUGGGGGAUCGCAAGACCUCACGUUAUUCGAGCGGCCGACGUCUGAUUAGCUAGUUGGUGGGGUAAUGGCUCACCAAGGCGACGAUCAGUAGCGGGUCUGAGAGGAUGAUCCGCCACACUGGGACUGAGACACGGCCCAGACUCCUACGGGAGGCAGCAGUGGGGAAUUUUGGACAAUGGGGGCAACCCUGAUCCAGCCAUUCCGCGUGAGUGAAGAAGGCCUUCGGGUUGUGAAGCUCUUUCAGCAGGAACGAAACGGUAGGGGCUAAUACCCUCUGCUAAUGACGGUACCUGCAGAAGAAGCACCGGCUAACUACGCGCCAGCAGCCGCGGUAAUACGUAGGGUGCGAGCGUUAAUCGGAAUUACUGGGCGUAAAGCGUGCGCAGGCGGAUUGUUAAGCAAGACGUGGAAUCCCCGGGCUUAACCUGGGAAUGGCGUUUUGAACUGGCAGUCUAGAGUGUGUCAGAGGGGGGUGGAAUUCCACGUGUAGCAGUGAAAUGCGUAGAGAUGUGGAGGAACACCAAUGGCGAAGGCAGCCCCCUGGGAUAACACUGACGCUCAUGUACGAAAGCGUGGGUAGCAAACAGGAUUAGAUACCCUGGUAGUCCACGCCCUAAACGAUGUCAACUGGUUAUUGGGGGAGUUAAAUCCCUUAGUAACGAAGCUAACGCGUGAAGUUGACCGCCUGGGGAGUACGGUCGCAAGAUUAAAACUCAAAGGAAUUGACGGGGACCCGCACAAGCGGUGGAUGAUGUGAUUAAUUCGAUGCAACGCGAAAAUCCUUACCUACCCUUGCCAUGUCCAGAAUCCUGCAGAGAUGCGGGAGUGCCCGAAAGGGAAUUGGAACACAGGUGCUGCAUGGCUGUCGUCAGCUCGUGUCGUGAGAUGUUGGGUUAAGUCCCGCAACGAGCGCAACCCUUAUCAUUAGUUGCUACGCAAGGGCACUCUAAUGAGACUGCCGGUGACAAACCGGAGGAAGGUGGGGAUGACGUCAAGUCCUCAUGGCCCUUAUGGGUAGGGCUUCACACGUCAUACAAUGGUCGGUACAUAGGGUUGCCAAGCCGCGAGGUGGAGCCAAUCCCAGAAAGCCGAUCGUAGUCCGGAUUGUUCUCUGCAACUCGAGAGCAUGAAGUCGGAAUCGCUAGUAAUCGCGGAUCAGCAUGUCGCGGUGAAUACGUUCCCGGGUCUUGUACACACCGCCCGUCACACCAUGGGAGUGGAAUCUGCCAGAAGUAGGUAGCCUAACCGCAAGGAGGGCGCUUACCACGGUGGGUUUCAUGACUGGGGUGAAGUCGUAACAAGGUA
rnacentral:rRNA from 1 species